CAGCAGCCGCGGGAAUACGUAGGAUGCAAGCGUUAAUCGGAAUUACUGGGCGUAAAGCGUGCGCAGGCGGUCCGCUAAGACAGAUGUGAAAUCCCCGGGCUUAACCUGGGAACUGCAUUUGUGACUGGCGGGCUAGAGUAUGGCAGAGGGGGGUAGAAUUCCACGUGUAGCAGUGAAAUGCGUAGAGAUGUGGAGGAAUACCGAUGGCGAAGGCAGCCCCUGGGCCAAUACUGACGCUCAUGCACGAAAGCGUGGGGAGCAAACAGGAUUAGAUACCCCGGUAGUCCCUGUCUCUUAUACA
rnacentral:rRNA from 1 species